rnacentral:lncRNA from 1 species
AAAUAAAGGGCAGAGCCCAAACAAAGACUAAAAGCAAGCGCACCUUAAUCCAUGAAAAACACAAAACUGGGAAUAUCUACUCGCAGAAGGGAGAACAAGAACUGAGAGCUCCAUUGGUGAGGGAAGGGUAGACCAUAGUGGUGGCUGAUAAGUUCGACCCACCGUCCGAUUGGCAAGCGAGGCCGGUAAAUAUGCUGCUCCAUUCGCUUCCCCAGAAAACUUCAUCGAAAAAGGUACCGCCUCUUUCUUCUGAUAUCUUUGAGGAUUCCUAGGAGUAAACAUCAGUUUUUGCAUGUAAUUACACCUAUUUUAGAGAAGCAGACUCAAUUCUGUUCUGAAUUUAUGUUUAUUUUAAAAGGAAAAGUAUCUGUUGUCUGAUUGUUUCCGACAGUUAAAACCCCUAAACUUGAACAGUUGACAAGAGAUUAGUUGUGGACUUGUGGCAUUGGUAAUGUGAGUUAUCUACAUCUGUAGUGUAAUCUUGCUAAGCAAGCGGAGUGUUAAGCUGUUAAUAGUCUUGCACUCUUGCUGAAAAGUCAAGCAUUGUGUCUGAUCAGAAAUAGAAAAUCUUGUUACUAACCUUGUACUGAUGAUAAGAUAUCUGAAAACAAUCACCUUACAAAACAGAGAAAUUACCUGCUCACGCUACACAAUAUUUCAUAAAUGUUAAAAACUUACAACGAUUACAUUACAAUAACAACUACAACAUUGAUUACCCAAAAUAAAUAACUACACCAUAGUUUGAGUAAUAAAGUACAGAGAAAAAAAUGCCACGAGAGUUUCUAGCCUAGAGCUUCAUGCUUGGUUAACCUUACCAUUUCAUCGUCUUCGGUACCUUCCAUUUAUGUAAACAAGCCUUUGAAUAUUACCAAAUCUUUGUGCCAGCUGAGGGAAUAUCUUGAACAGGAUGUUACACAUAGCUCUGUAAUACCAUUCCCUCCAUCUUUUGCAAAACAAAAGCGAUCCGAUGACAAUACCAAAUCCACAUGUAAAUCCAAUUUCAACACUGAUAAUAUCCCAGUCAAUGUCAUCUCCAGGUUUCUGAUUACUUGAGCUUCCAGCUAAUGUAGGCGGUGGCGAUACGGCUGGUAUAUCUUCUGUCAGAGGAGGCCCCCAUAAUCCUUUGUUACCCUGGAAGGAGGUGUUUGGAAAUGUCGAAAACUGAGUGCUUGUUGGGAUCCUUCCUGUCAGUUGAUUAUUUGAG